rnacentral:rRNA from 1 species
GUGGGGAAUAUUGGGCAAUGGGGGAAACCCUGACCCAGCAACGCCGCGUGAAGGAAGAAGGUUUUCGGAUCGUAAACUUCUAUCCUUGGUGAAGAUAAUGACGGUAGCCAAGAAGGAAGCCCCGGCUAACUACGUGCCAGCAGCCGCGGUAAUACGUAGGGGGCAAGCGUUGUCCGGAAUGAUUGGGCGUAAAGGGCACGUAGGCGGCCUGGUAAGUCUGGAGUGAAAGUCCUGCUUUUAAGGUGGGAAUUGCUUUGGAUACUGUCGGGCUUGAGUGCAGGAGAGGUAAGCGGAAUUCCCGGUGUAGCGGUGAAAUGCGUAGAGAUCGGGAGGAACACCAGUGGCGAAGGCGGCUUACUGGACUGUAACUGACGCUGAGGCGCGAAAGUGUGGGGAGCAAACAGGAUUAGAAACCCCUGUAGUCC